UGGUUAUUGGAUGGCUAGAGUUUUCCUUAUUCUCUCUCUCUCUCUCUCUCAUGAUCUUGCUAAUCCAAGGGCUAAAAUCUCCCCUUCUCUCUCUCUCUUUCAUGACAUUGCUGACCCAAUGAGUGGAGCCUCCCUUGCCCUCUUUCUCUCUCAUGACCUUGCUAACUCUAUGGUCAGAGCAAGGUGGAUAAAGGCUCCUGGACCCAGCCUUCCUUGCUCUCUCUC
rnacentral:lncRNA from 1 species